UACGUAGGGGGCAAGCGUUAUCCGGAUUUACUGGGUGUAAAGGGAGCGUAGACGGCAGUGCAAGUCUGAAGUGAAAUCCCGGGGCUUAACCCCGGAACUGCUUUGGAAACUGUGCAGCUGGAGUGCAGGAGAGGUAAGCGGAAUUCCUAGUGUAGCGGUGAAAUGCGUAGAUAUUAGGAGGAACACCAGUGGCGAAGGCGGCUUACUGGACUGUAACUGACGUUGAGGCUCGAAAGCGUGGGGAGCAAACAGG
rnacentral:rRNA from 1 species